CCAGACUCCUACGGGAGGCAGCAGUGGGGAAUAUUGGGCAAUGGGCGCAAGCCUGACCCAGCAACGCCGCGUGAAGGAAGAAGGCUUUCGGGUUGUAAACUUCUUUUAUUCGGGACGAAGCAAGUGACGGUACCGAAUGAAUAAGCCACGGCUAACUCCGUGCCAGCAGCCGCGGUAAUACGGAGGAUGCGAGCGUUAUCCGGAUUUAUUGGGUUUAAAGGGUGCGUAGGCGGAAUAUCAAGUCAGCGGUAAAAAUUCGGGGCUCAACCCCGUCGUGCCGUUGAAACUGAUGUUCUUGAGUGGGCGAGAAGUAUGCGGAAUGCGUGGUGUAGCGGUGAAAUGCAUAGAUAUCACGCAGAACUCCGAUUGCGAAGGCAGCAUACCGGCGCUCAACUGACGCUCAUGCACGAAAGCGUGGGUAUCGAACAGGAUUAGAUACCCGGGUAAG
rnacentral:rRNA from 1 species